GACGAACGCUGGCGGCGUGCUUAAUACAUGCAAGUCGAACGGAAAGGCCCUGCUUUUGUGGGGUGCUCGAGUGGCGAACGGGUGAGUAACACGUGAGUAACCUGCCCUUGACUUUGGGAUAACUUCAGGAAACUGGGGCUAAUACCGGAUAGGAGCUCCUGCUGCAUGGUGGGGGUUGGAAAGUUUCGGCGGUUGGGGAUGGACUCGCGGCUUAUUAGCUUGUUGGUGGGGUAGUGGCUUACCAAGGCUUUGACGGGUAGCCGGCCUGAGAGGGUGACCGGCAACAUUGGGACUGAGAUACGGCCCAGACUCCGACGGGAGGCAGCAGUGGGGAAGAUUGCACAAUGGGCGGAAGCCUGAUGCAGCAACGCCGCGUGCGGGAUGACGGCCUUCGGGUUGGAAACCGCUUUCGCCUGUGACGAAGCGUGAGUGACGGUAAUGGGUAAAGAAGCACCGGCUAACUACGUGC
rnacentral:rRNA from 1 species